ACUCGAGGACGACCUCGAGGCGAUCGUCGACUCGACGCCGGACGACCCGC
rnacentral:ncRNA from 1 species